GACGAACGCUGGCGGCGUGCUUAACACAUGCAAGUCGAGCGGAAAGGCCCUUCGGGGUACUCGAGCGGCGAACGGGUGAGUAACACGUGAGUAACCUGCCCCAGACUUUGGGAUAACCCUCGGAAACGGGGGCUAAUACCGGAUACGACACAGCUUCGCAUGGGGUCUGUGUGGAAAGUUUUUCGGUUUGGGAUGGGCUCGCGGCCUAUCAGCUUGUUGGUGGGGUGAUGGCCUACCAAGGCGACGACGGGUAGCCGGCCUGAGGGGGCGACCGGCCACACUGGGACUGAGACACGGCCCAGACUCCUACGGGAGGCAGCAGUGGGGAAUAUUGCACAAUGGGCGGAAGCCUGAUGCAGCGACGCCGCGUGAGGGAUGACGGCCUUCGGGUUGUAAACCUCUUUCAGCAGGGACGAAGCGUAAGUGACGGUACCUGCAGAAGAAGCGCCGGCCAACUACGUG
rnacentral:rRNA from 1 species